CAAUAUGUGUCCUUAUCUUUAGGUAUUAACCAUUUAUUGUGGAAAAGCUUAAUCCAAUUUCAUGGUUUUAAACAAUUUUUUGAAAAAGACUUGAUCAAGAAAUAGUCUUCCCCCUAGACUUCUAUAAAAAGAAGAGGUUCAUCUAUUUUCUACUGUAUAUGUUUGAUUCAGCAAUUUUGGCUGUCAAAGAAGCAUAUUAGUAUUUCCAAUGACGAAAUGUGUUGAAAUCUUGAAGAGAGAACGUGAUAGAAUAUGUGGGAUUGCAGACCAGUCAUGGGAGGAUUGAAGAUGUCUGCUACAACUCUCUUGAACAAGUAAAAUGAUCCUCCUUGGAGUAGCACAGGAAAGAUUUGGCCUUCUCUAAAUUUGAAGUUGACUAUCAUACUCCGUACUUGUGGAGCUAUUCACGGGUAUCAUUUAAAUGAUUCAAACAGUUUAUUUUAUAGUUUCGUGUAUAUUAUUUAUAAAAAUAAUUAAAUAGAUUCAACAAUAGUAGUACGUUUUAUUUUAUUGUAUUUGUUUCUAAAAAAUAAAUCGUCUAAUUUUAAAACAUACUUGUCAUUUAUUUUUUAGAGACAAAUGCAAUCAAUUGAAAAUGUUAUAAUUAUCAGAUUAAUCUAAUUUUUCUCAUGAUUGAUAUGCAUGAAGUAUUUUACAAAAUGAACUAUUUAAAUCAUCAAAACGAAAUUUAUGAUAAAUCUCAUGAGACAAAACAUGACAGUUAAGUUUAAAUUUAAACUUGAGAAACCCAACCCAAAAGAAAAACCUCGUGAUUUAUCCUCUGUUUGAAAAAAAAAAAAAAGGGGGAAUUUUCCUGCAAACAAGAUGGCUUUUAAUUAUUGAAUAAUUCUUGAUUUGGGGCAAAGAAAAUGUGAAGCUGUUUAAAAACAAAAAAAAAACAAAAAGAAAAAGUAGCGAAGACCACCCA